UCAGGAGUGAAGCUGCUGUCUGAUCUUGUGGAGAGUCCACAUUGUAGACUGGAGACUCUGAGGUGGAAGUGAUCUCUGUCAGAGAGACAGAUGAUGUCUGGAUUCUGGAGGAAAGUUACCAUCUAAUAUUUAAUUUUGUAUAUUGUUAAUUUAAAAAAAAGUGGUAAUUGUUAGGCAAAACACAUUGUUUGUUACACGCUUUCUAUAAUUCAUUGCUUAAUAUACUUCACCUGUAGUACAAAUCUGCAUGGCUACUUUAAGACAUAAUUUAAUAUUGUAAGUAUAAUAUAUACUGUAGAUUUGAAUAGUGUGGUAUCACAAAAUGUAUUUCUUAAUACAUAUUUUGUCACGUGUGUGUACAUAACUGAAUCAAGAAGUAAACAUGUAUAUGUCUUAAGUGAUGUUUAAAACACAAGUAAGAAAGUCUGAACAACCUGAAGUCUCAGCAUGUUUCAGCCUCUUUUCUCAUCAUACUCUGAUUACUGUGUGAACUGUGUUACAACAUUAUUGAUCAUUAUCUCUGUUACAGUUAAUUACAUUUUCAUUAGACUCUGAGCCUAAGACAAAGCUGGAAAACCGUUCUCGACUCUGACUCCUUCACAGAGAAAUAUUUACUGUAUUUCACGAUUAAAGUCAACUGAAUAAAACUUCAUAGGAAUCAUGUUGUAUUUUCAAAAUGAAGGGGUAUUAGUUUCCAAUGAGUGCUCGCUCAGUCUGCAAGUGUAACACUGCCAUUUACCAGAAGUGUAAAUUUGCUUACUUUGCUUUUAAAAUACUUGUGCUGUCGUCCUUAAAGGAAUAACACGCCUUACGUUUUAGGCUGAGUUGCUUGCUAAAUUAGCCAACUACUAAGCUGUGUGUGGGGCGGAACAAGUGUUUUUAUAGAUCUAGCAUCAUUGCCGAGGAUGAGUGUUCAAGAACAGCCCAGUGACCAUGCUGUUUACAGGGGCGGUUUGUUCAUUAGAGCGAUCGGGCGACACACCACCAAGCCGGUAAAGGCAGAGGAUUUUUCUCACACUUUCUACCACACUGUUAGUAAGCUGUGGCUGUUUUGACAGACAGUCUGUCUUUGAAAAUCGUUGUCCAGUCAGCGUCAAGUCGUGUUCCGUGGAAUCCGCCCCUUUUGGGCCGAUUUGUCUGGUUGAAAAUCGCCCAGAUCGCUCUCAUUGACUUUCAUGUUAAGGCAGUUUUUUUUGGAACUGCGGGCACUGAAAUGCAAUGUCUAUGGGUUUCAGUUGGGCUCGCACUUACGUGUUUACGUCAUGCGCCCUGUAGCAGAGCUACGCUUCUGCCACCUGAAAACAACUCCGCAGUCCGCCAGCUUGUUGCACUCACUACGAUCAGCUGCUGUUUUAACAAAACGUAUGUUCAGGCUGAAAAUUCAACAGUGGUGUUGUGUCGGGAGAUACAGCGACUUUACCAGUGGUGAGAAAGAUAUACUAUAAAUAUGUUAUUUGUUAAGCUAUGGGGAGCGAGAAAGUCUGCUAGCCACUUGGCUAAUUUAUCCAAUUUAAAAUGUCAUAGGCUAAGCUAAUAAUUGUGAACAUAAAAAAAAUCUUGACAGCCAAAUUUUAUGCAUAUAUUAGAUGUGAUUGUUAAUAAGCCAUGUUUAAUGUGUGGUGGUGGAGUCGAUUUAAAGUUAACUUUGCUGCACUUAACCAGUAACAAUUAUUUUAUGUGUUGAUUUUUUCCUUUUGUUGCCAAAAACCACAGAAGAGGAGGUAGCAUGAUGGGGCUUCUUUGUCAGAGGAGGAUAAAAAGAAGGAGAGCAACACAGAAAAUAACCCAAAACAAUAGAAACACCUUUUUAUAUUUUCCCUUACGUGCCUUCUUGUUUAUGUGUAAAUACAGAGUGAGAAAGGGAGAACAGCACAUAGCUUGUUGUUACUAUGUGAUUAUAGAGCAGGCCUAUAGGAGAACAAUGGAUACUGUUAUACAGCCCACACCCCUAAUAAUACUGGGUAACUACAGGAUGACAAGUGGAGAACACUGAAGAUUUUUUACAACUCUCUACUCACCUUAUUAAUCUUGUGUAAUGUGUGUUGAAAAUAAAUACUAGGUUCAUCUCUAGCCCAUAAAACAUUUAAGCCUGGCUAUAUUUGAUUAUUGUAUUAGUUGAGGCUGAGGGCUUGUUUUCUACUCCAGCCUGUCCCUUAGCUGCAGUGCAGGAUGAACUGUAAAUAGUUUUAUUAAUUGUACUUUAUCAGCCCCAGUGCCACUGUGCUUUAUUCUGGAUUUCUUGUACCCUAAAUAAAUAAUAAAUAAUAAAUAAAAGGUUUGUCACAGCA